rnacentral:snRNA from 1 species
GGGUGUGAGGGUAAUCGGGCUUCGACAUCUUCACCUCAUUUAUCACCAGGGUUGACUGAACUGAUAUGGCUGGUUAGGCGGAGUCCCCUUCCCCCUCACUGCUCCAUGUGUGUCCCUCUCGAAGCUGCGUGCAUGGCCAAACAGGAUGACCAUCCCUGAUAGAAGCGGGCUGGUCUUUGGUCAAGGGUAUUAUGAGAGGCUGCAUUCCCCUGCUAGAACCUCCAAACAAGCAAAUAUUGUUAUUUUUAAUGGGGGCCCAGUAGAAUUUAAUGUUUUCUCCAUCACUCAGCUCCAAUGACUAGCAGUAUAACCUCUGUACUUACAUU